rnacentral:rRNA from 1 species
UACGUAGGGUGCGAGCGUUAAUCGGAAUUACUGGGCGUAAAGCGUGCGCAGGCGGUUCGCCAAGUCAGGUGUGAAAUCCCCGGGCUUAACCUGGGAAUUGCGCUUGAAACUAGCGGGCUUGAGUGUGGCAGAGGGAGGUGGAAUUCCACGUGUAGCGGUGAAAUGCGUAGAGAUGUGGAGGAACACCGAUGGCGAAGGCAGCCUCCUGGGCCAACACUGACGCUCAUGCACGAAAGCGUGGGGAGCAAACAGG